rnacentral:rRNA from 1 species
AGAGUUUGAUCCUGGCUCAGGAUGAACGCUAGCUACAGGCUUAACACAUGCAAGUCGAGGGGCAGCAUGGUCUUAGCUUGCUAAGGCCGAUGGCGACCGGCGCACGGGUGAGUAACACGUAUCCAACCUGCCGUCUACUCUUGGACAGCCUUCUGAAAGGAAGAUUAAUACAAGAUGGCAUCAUGAGUCCGCAUGUUCACAUGAUUAAAGGUAUUCCGGUAGACGAUGGGGAUGCGUUCCAUUAGAUAGUAGGCGGGGUAACGGCCCACCUAGUCUUCGGUGGAUAGGGGUUCUGAGAGGAAGGUCCCCCACAUUGGAACUGAGACACGGUCCAAACUCCUACGGGAGGCAGCAGUGAGGAAUAUUGGUCAAUGGGCGAGAGCCUGAACCAGCCAAGUAGCGUGAAGGAUGACUGCCCUAUGGGUUGUAAACUUCUUUUAUAAAGGAAUAAAGUCGGGUAUGGAUACCCGUUUGCAUGUACUUUAUGAAUAAGGAUCGGCUAACUCCGUGCCAGCAGCCGCGGUAAUACGGAGGAUCCGAGCGUUAUCCGGAUUUAUUGGGUUUAAAGGGAGCGUAGAUGGAUGUUUAAGUCAGUUGUGAAAGUUUGCGGCUCAACCGUAAAAUUGCAGUUGAUACUGGAUAUCUUGAGUGCGGUUGAGGCAGGCGGAAUUCGUGGUGUAGCGGUGAAAUGCUUAGAUAUCACGAAGAACUCCGAUUGCGAAGGCAGCCUGCUAAGCUGCAACUGACAUUGAGGCUCGAAAGUGUGGGUAUCAAACAGGAUUAGAUACCCUGGUAGUCCACACGGUAAACGAUGAAUACUCGCUGUUUGCGAUAUACUGCAAGCGGCCAAGCGAAAGCGUUAAGUAUUCCACCUGGGGAGUACGCCGGCAACGGUGAAACUCAAAGGAAUUGACGGGGGCCCGCACAAGCGGAGGAACAUGUGGUUUAAUUCGAUGAUACGCGAGGAACCUUACCCGGGCUUAAAUUGCAGAUGAAUUACGGUGAAAGCCGUAAGCCGCAAGGCAUCUGUGAAGGUGCUGCAUGGUUGUCGUCAGCUCGUGCCGUGAGGUGUCGGCUUAAGUGCCAUAACGAGCGCAACCCUUGUUGUCAGUUACUAACAGGUUCUGCUGAGGACUCUGACAAGACUGCCAUCGUAAGAUGUGAGGAAGGUGGGGAUGACGUCAAAUCAGCACGGCCCUUACGUCCGGGGCUACACACGUGUUACAAUGGGGGGUACAGAGGGCCGCUACCACGCGAGUGGAUGCCAAUCCCAAAAACCUCUCUCAGUUCGGACUGGAGUCUGCAACCCGACUCCACGAAGCUGGAUUCGCUAGUAAUCGCGCAUCAGCCACGGCGCGGUGAAUACGUUCCCGGGCCUUGUACACACCGCCCGUCAAGCCAUGGGAGCCGGGGGUACCUGAAGUGCGUAACCGCGAGGAGCGCCCUAGGGUAAAACUGGUGACUGGGGCUAAGUCGUAACAAGGUAGCC